UACGAAGGGGGCUAGCGUUGCUCGGAAUCACUGGGCGUAAAGCGCACGUAGGCGGCUUCUUAAGUCAGGGGUGAAAUCCUGGAGCUCAACUCCAGAACUGCCUUUGAUACUGAGAGCUUGAGUCCGGGAGAGGUGAGUGGAACUGCGGAGUGUAGAGGUGAAAUUCGUAGAUAUUCGCAAGAACACCAGUGGCGAAGGCGGCUCACUGGCCCGGUACUGACGCUGAGGUGCGAAAGCGUGGGGAGCAAACAGG
rnacentral:rRNA from 1 species